rnacentral:lncRNA from 10 species
AAUAUAGAGCAUCACAGCUUACUAGAGCAAAAACCCACAACCAGAAACUUCUGCAGGAAGCAGUGCUGGGGUAAGAAAACAUAAGCUCUAAUUGACAAAUUGCUGGAGGCUCAGUGUGGAAAAAUCUAACAGUUAAAAAAUCCAGGAAGACUUAGUAGGGAUGAAACCCACUUGAUCAUGGUGGAUAAGCUUAUUGAUGUGCUGCUGGAUUUAGUUUGCCAGUAUUUUAUUGAGGAUUUUUGCAUCAAUGUUCAUCAAGGAUAUUGGUCUAAAAUUCUCUUUUUUUGUUGUGUCUCUGCCCAGCUUUGCUAUCAGGAUGAUGCUGGCCUCAUAAAAUGAGUUAGGGAGGAUUCCCUCUUUUUCUAUUGAUUGGAAUAGUUUCAGAAGGAAUGAACUAGACCUUACACCCUUCACAAAAAUUAACUGCAAAUGGAUCACAGGCUAAAUGUAAAAUGCAAAACUAUGAAACUCCUAAAAGAUAGCAUAGGAAAAAAAAUUAGAUGACCUUGGGUUUGGUGAUGACUUCUCAGAUGAAGUGGUGGGAUUACAGGCAUGAGCCACCGCGCCCGGCCAGCUCUCACCUUUAAAAAUACAGUUUGUGCAAUGGAUUAUUUUCCUACUGUGAAAUUUUCUUUGGGUUUCUAAGGGUCAUAGAGAAAACAGAAGACGUUCAAGAUUCUUGUUCUUUUUGCUCCCACUGUUCUUUCAGCAUCUCCGCAUACUUACCCAGAAAUGAUGUGACCCAAGUCUUGGUUUGCUGUCACCGAGUGAAGAAAGA